rnacentral:rRNA from 1 species
GCAUAUCAAUAAGCGGAGGAAAAGAAACCAACAGGGAUUGCCCUAGUAACGGCGAGUGAAGCGGCAACAGCUCAAAUUUGAAAUCUGGCUCUUUUAGAGUCCGAGUUGUAAUUUGCAGAGGGCGCUUUGGCUUUGGCAGCGGUCCAAGUUCCUUGGAACAGGACGUCACAGAGGGUGAGAAUCCCGUACGUGGUCGCUGGCUAUUGCCGUGUAAAGCCCCUUCGACGAGUCGAGUUGUUUGGGAAUGCAGCUCUAAAUGGGAGGUACAUUUCUUCUAAAGCUAAAUAUUGGCCAGAGACCGAUAGCGCACAAGUAGAGUGAUCGAAAGAUGAAAAGCACUUUGGAAAGAGAGUCAAACAGCACGUGAAAUUGUUGAAAGGGAAGCGCUUGCAGCCAGACUUGCUUGCAGUUGCUCAUCCGGGCUUUUGCCCGGUGCACUCUUCUGUAGGCAGGCCAGCAUCAGUUUGGGCGGUAGGAUAAAGGUCUCUGUCACGUACCUCUCUUCGGGGAGGCCUUAUAGGGGAGACGACAUACUACCAGCCUGGACUGAGGUCCGCGCAUCUGCUAGGAUGCUGGCGUAAUGGCUGUAAGCGGCCCGUCUUGAAACACGGACCAAGGAGUCUAACAUCUAUGCGAGUGUUUGGGUGUCAAGCCCGAGCGCGUAAUAAACGUGAACGGAGGUGGGAACCCGCAAGGGUGCACCAUCGACCGAUCCUGAUGUCUUCGGAAGGAUUUGAGUAAGAGCAUGGCUGUUGGGACCCGAAAGAUGGUGAACUAUGCUUGAAUAGGGUGAAGCCAGAGGAAACUCUGGUGGAGGCUCGCAGCGGUUCUGACGUGCAAAUCGAUCGUCAAAUUUGGGCAUAGGGGCGAAAGACUAAUCGAACUAUCUAGUAGCUGGUUCCUGCCGAAG